GCCUAAUUGUCUUGUUCGCGUUCAACGUUCCUCUAAGGAUGAGGAGUGAAAAACGUAGUGUCUGCACUGCACAGUGCUCUGUAUACAGACACGUACUUCCAGAUCGCAGUCACAGGUUCUGACAGUUCCUACGUAUCUCCAUAAAGCACUGUAAGAUAUCCACCAAACCUCUGUUCAUGACGUCCCAUUGUUAACGUGACAAAGCGUUCCACCCUG